rnacentral:misc_RNA from 1 species
GGCUGGAUCACCUCCUUUCUAAGGGAUUGAGUGUCCUUGCUCUCGCAAGAGAGCUCGAACCGCUCGAAACCCAAGGUUGAUCGUCGGCGUCCUCGAUUCAGUUUCCAGGGAAUCGGCACCCUGGACUGGGCCUAUAGCUCAGUUGGUCAGAGCGCACGCCUGAUAAGCGUGAGGUCGGUAGUUCAAAUCUACCUAGGCCCACCACGCAAGCGGCGCUCGAGCCCUGAGUGACGAGGGGCUGUAGCUCAGCUGGGAGAGCACCUGCUUUGCAAGCAGGGGGUCGUCGGUUCGAUCCCGAUCAGCUCCACCAGUUUUGAUAGUCGCCGGGAUGCGCCGUCGCGAUGCGCAAGCGUCGCGACCGCGGAUCCUGGAGAUCCGAAGCGGGUUCUUUGACAACUGAAUCGAUUGCUGUAGCGACAAGAUUCGCCGGUCAGCAAAUCACUCAAGAUAGGUCAAGCUACUAAGGGUGUACGGUGGAUGCCUUGGCGCAGAGAGGCGAUGAAGGACGUGGCAAGCUGCGAUAAGCCUCGGGGAGCCGCAAGCAGGCUUUGAUCCGGGGAUUUCCGAAUGGGGCAACCCGGCGGAGUGAAGCUCCGUCAUCCUGGAGUGAAUGCAUAGCUCCAUGGAAGCGAACGCGGGGAAGUGAACCAUCUCAGUACCCGCAGGAGAAGAAAGCAAACGCGAUUCCGUCAGUAGCGGCGAGCGAAAGCGGAUCGAGCCCAAACCGGCAUGGUGUCAAGCCUGCAAGCGUUGCCUUGCCGGGGUUGUGGGAUGUCGUGAGGUCUGAUUGCAGUCGGACCGGGGAGUUACCAACUGCCUGCCUAGCAGAAGGUGCCUGGAAAGGCCCGCCAUAGAGGGUGAAAGCCCCGUAGGCGAAAGGUAUGGCAGCUCCCUAUCGAUGUUCCCGAGUACCACGGGGCACGGGAAACCCCGUGGGAAUCUGGGUGGACCAUCACCCAAGGCUAAAUACUCCUCUGCGACCGAUAGUGAACCAGUACCGUGAGGGAAAGGUGAAAAGCACCCCUGUUAGGGGAGUGAAAUAGUACCUGAAACCGUACAUUUACAAGCAGUGGGAGCGCUAUGCCCCCAUCUUCGGAUGGACGGAAUGCGCGACCGCGUGCCUUUUGCAUAAUGAGCCGGCUAGUUAUCGUCACGGGCAAGGCGAAGCGUCGUGCUGAGCCGUAGCGAAAGCGAGUCUGAAACGGGCGAUUGAGUCCGUGGCGAUAGACGCGAAGCGGGAUGAUCUACCCAUGGCCAGGGUGAAGCUGGGGUAACACCCAGUGGAGGCCCGAACCGGUGUUUGUUGAAAAAAGCUCGGAUGAGCUGUGGGUAGGGGUGAAAGGCUAAUCAAAUUCCGUUAUAGCUCGUUCUCCCCGAAAUGCCUUUAGGGGCAGCCUUGUUGAUGCAUCGCGGAGGUAGAGCACUGGAUUGACUAGGGGUCUUACCAGACUGCCGAAUCCAACCAAACUCCGAAUGCCGCAGAUGUGAACCGCAGGAGUGAGACUACGAGGGAUAAGCUUCGUGGUCGAAAGGGAAACAGCCCAGAUCGCCAGCUAAGGUCCCCAAAUCGUAGCUAAGUGGAAAAGGUUGUGGAGACGCUGAGACAGCCAGGAGGUUGGCUUAGAAGCAGCCAUCCUUUAAAGAAAGCGUAAUAGCUCACUGGUCAAGUGACUCUGUGCCGAUAAUUCAACGGGGCUCAAGCUACGUACCGAAGCUGCGGAUUGAAGAGGUCCUUCGGGACUUCUCAGUGGUAGGGGAGCAUUCCGUGGGCGUUGAAGCUCGACCGAGAGGACGGGUGGAGCGCACGGAAGAGACUCUGCCGGCACAAGUAGCGAUAAAGCGUGUGAGAACCACGCUCGCCGAAAGUCUAAGGUUUCCUGAGCAAGGUCAAUCCGCUCAGGGUUAGUCGGUCCCUAAGGCGAGGCCGAAAGGCGUAGUCGAUGGGAAACAGGUCAACAUUCCUGUACCUCCGUGAGAAGUUGAUCCAGGGGUGACGCGGAAGGAUAAGUGGGCCCACCAUUGGACGUGUGGGUUGAAGCGUGAAGGCGGAGGGGGUAGGCAAAUCCGCUCCCUCAUCAACGCCGAGGCGUGAUCUCGAGGCCUUCGGGCCGCAAAGCCACCGACUCCAUGCCGCCAAGAAAAACCUUGAUGGGGAUUCGAAUCGGAGACCGUACCGUAAACCGACACAGGUAGACGAGGAGAGAAUCCUAAGGCGCUUGAGUGAUCCCUUGCGAAGGAACUCGGCAAAUUAACACCGUAACUUCGGGAGAAGGUGUGCCGUCGCGUGUGUAGGGGUUCGCCCCCGAAGCACAUGACGGUCGCAGUGAAAAGGCCCAAGCGACUGUUUAUCAAAAACACAGGACUCUGCUAAGUCGAAAACGACGUAUAGGGUCUGACGCCUGCCCGGUGCCGGAAGGUUAAGGAGAGGGGUUAGCGGGUUCGCCUGCGAAGCUCUGAACCGAAGCCCCGGUAAACGGCGGCCCGUAACUAUAACGGUCCUAAGGUAGCGAAAUUCCUUGUCGGGUAAGUUCCGACCUGCACGAAUGGCGUAACGAUUUGGGCACUGUCUCCGCAAGGGGCUCAGCGAAUCUGUAGUACCGGUGAAGAUGCCGGUUACCCGCAUGUAGACGGAAAGACCCUGUGCACCUUUACUGCACCCUGGCCCUGAACCCCGGUGCGUUAUGUGUAGGAUAGGUGGGAGGCUGUGAAACCGGGCCGCUAGACUCGGUGGAGCCAACGGUGAAAUACCACCCUUAGCGUUCUGGAGUUCUAACCCAGGCCCGUAAUCCGGGUCGGGAACAAGGUCAGGCGGGUAGUUUGACUGGGGCGGUCGCCUCCUAAAGAGUAACGGAGGCGCU